rnacentral:misc_RNA from 1 species
UUUUGUCAAUUCGACACUAAAUUUUACCUCUUUGUCGAACCCUCGUUUUGAUAAUAAUUAUUUAAUCUUUGAUGAUGUGAGGAUAAAGGCUAGAUAAUAAAGACACUGCUAUUUGCAUUUUCUUCGGACUUCAGCUUGAUUUUUCUCCCUGUGCGCAAAAAGACUAGAGCGGACGCAAAUCUACUUUGUCUAUCUUCAGUAAUCUUCAGCACAUGCCUUAUUAUGUAAACAGUACUGUAUAGUGUGAGCAUAAAAUCUGCUUUGUGGAGCAUCGUAAUAUCGUGGGAGGAUGUGUCUCCAGAUGCAAUAAAAAAAUACUUGGCAUAAUUUAGGCCAGCUACCAUAUUUCAUGAUGAGGAUGAUAAAGAUGAUACCCGCGAAUUUGAAGGUUUUUGGACAUCACAAACUAAAGCAAUGGGUAAUAUAUCCUCAUCUGUGAAUGCAACAACUACAGUGCCUCCACUAACACAAACUUUAAAUAAAGAUAUGGAAAGUAAAGGUCACAUACCAGAAAACAUAGGAGGUGCUGCUGAUAAAUUAGGUUCCUGUCCUUAUAAACAUAAUGAGAAGGAAAUGCCACAAGCAAAGAGUGAAUGUCCUGUUACUGGAACUUCUGAUGAUGAUGUCAACCCCUACAAUAUGAUGCCGCCUAUGAAUCAGAAUCCAGCUCCUGAUCAACCAUUUCCUUUAUCCAAAGAUCGUGAAGCAUCAACUAUUCCUAAAGCUGGAUCUGAAAAUGAGGUUUGGGUGUAUCCAUCUCAGCAGAUGUUUUGGAAUGCAAUGCUUCGAAAAGGCUGGAGGUGGAAGGAAUCUGAUAUUUUCCCUAAUGAUAUGGCUCACAUUAUCCGAAUUCAUAAUGUAAAUAAUGAAGCCGCAUGGCAAGAAGUUCUUAAAUGGGAAGCAUUACAUGCUAAAGAGUGCUGUAAUCCUAAAUUAAAAAAGUUUGGUGGAAAAGCUAAAGAUUAUUCACCUAGAGCUAGAAUACGAAGUUUUCUUGGGUAUGAAUUACCAUUUGAUCGUCAUGACUGGAUUGUAGACAGAUGUGGCAAAGAAGUCCGUUAUGUUAUUGACUAUUAUGAUAGUGGUGAAGUAAAUGUACAAAAUGGAAGGUUUGCGAUACUGGAUGUUCGACCUGCUUUAGAUUCAUUUGGUGCUGUAUGGGAUCGUAUGAAAGUGGCAUGGUGGCGCUGGACAGCUACAGAAUCUGCAGAGUCUUAGGAUAUUUAUAAUUGAAAUAGGAGCAAAUUUAGUCAUUUGUAAAUGAUUCAAAUUUUAGUUUUAGAUGAACUUUGUGUAGUCAACCUCCUUUCACUGUUGAAUCAUUGUACAUGUAUGGUUUGUAUUUUUUAGCAGUGAAUGAAACAAGCAAAGUGGUUCAGUUCUUAGUUUAUUUGCAUAGAAUUCUUAAAUAAAUGUUUUAUAAUAUCAUAUAAUUGGAAACACUGGGUAUAAUUUCUUAAUAUCUACACAAUAACUGAAAUCUGUUAAAAUAACAUGCCAAAUAAUAAUUAUGAGAGGUGUUAAGGCAACAAGAAUCAACAUAAUAUCCAUAAAUUUUGCAGCACUAGUUGCAAAGGUAAUCUAGAACUUUCUUUUUCAGCUGCAGAAGUGCAAGUGAUGAAAGAUAUAACAUUCUAUAUUUAAAGCUAGUCCUAUAAAUUUAUGAAUACGAUGCUGAUUCUUGAUGUCAUAACGCUUCCAAUAAUAGUUAACAUACUAAAAAAAAGUUUAAAAUUUUGCUUGUAAUACAUAUUAAAAUGUAAAUUUUGUAAUACAAUUUAAAAAAAAGUUAAUAAAAUUAGUCAUUACUAUA